GGUGACCGGCUUUCUUUUGGAGCAGGAGACGGUGCCGGAAUGUUUUGAAUGUUAGGAGGAAAGUCCUGACCUUUUGUUCUGAAACAUCCUGAAGCGGAGCGCAUUAAUAGAUAGGCUUAGCCAACUCAUCGCUUAACUCCCAAGAAAACAUUUUCUAAUGCUAGAGCAGCAGGUAUAGUUUAUGCUUAGAAACCAUAUCAUACCCAGUUCCCCUUCUUUUCUCCGGUGCACUCGCUUUAUAUCUCCGAAACAACUAGUAGAUUGAGUUCAAUAUC
rnacentral:lncRNA from 1 species